ensembl:lncRNA
CAUCUCAAAUAGUCAGCUAGUCUCCAACCGCAAAUUGAGGCAGCCCUUGAGAGCACUGAAAAGAACAAUGAGACACUUCUUCACAGUGUAUGUAAGUAUCUGAGAGAAAAAGUGGGAGAAUCCACCUCUCUCUCUCUCUCUCUCUCUCUCUCUCUCUCUCUCUAUGUGUGUGUGUGUGAACAGCCUUAUGCACAUGCAUGUUUGCUUUGACAAUUUGCUUUCUGAAUUGUAAUUAACUAUUACACUCUGCUUUUUCACAAUUUUAUAGUGUCAUCUCACAAAUCCCAGCGGUUCAAUUCAAUCACACCUAUUGUUCUCUGACGGGUCCUGCUGAGGAUGUAAUAUUCCCAGCCAACAUGACACUUUUGCCUCAUAAAGAUGUGUAAGGCAACAUUUCUCAAAACCACAAUUUGGAUAAGGUUCUACAUACAGGGCUGAGGCAGCACUCUUUGUUAAUAAAAUAGCAGCACAAACCUGUGGUUGGGUAGCU